AUGGGAUCCCUAUCCCGCGAGAUCCUCGCCCAGGUCGCUACGCUCUCCACGCCGGCCGAAGUAUGGACGGCGAUCCAUGCUAUGUUUGCUGCCCAAAGCCAAGCUCAAGCAAUCAACACGCGUAUUGAGCUCACAAAUCUUCAAAAAGGUAACAUGUCUAUGGAAGAAUACCUUGGCAAAAUUAGAAGUCUUACCGAUGAGGUCGCCUGCACUGCCACCGCGCUCUCUGAUCCGGAGAUCGUGUCCAAGACUCUUGCCGGCCUCGACAUGGACUAUAAUCCUGUGGUCUCCGCCCUCGCUGCUCGGGUGGAACCGAUCACCGUAUAG
rnacentral:rRNA from 1 species